rnacentral:ncRNA from 1 species
UAUAGGGUAGCCGAAAACUAUUUAAAAGAGUAGGCA